rnacentral:rRNA from 1 species
UACGUAGGGUGCAAGCGUUGUCCGGAAUUAUUGGGCGUAAAGAGCUCGUAGGCGGUUUGUCGCGUCUGCUGUGAAAACUCAGGGCUUAACCCUGAGCCUGCAGUGGGUACGGGCAGACUAGAGUGUGGUAGGGGAGAUCGGAAUUCCUGGUGUAGCGGUGGAAUGCGCAGAUAUCAGGAGGAACACCGGUGGCGAAGGCGGCUCAGCUGGCCCGGUACUGACGCUGAGGCGCGAAAGCGUGGGGAGCAACAGG